CUAAGGCAGCCCAGCCCCAGUGUGGGGACCAGGGGACUGUGAGCACCAUGGCCUGGACUCCUCUCCUGCUCCUGCUCCUCUCUCACUGCACAGUGUCCCUCUCCCAGCUUGUGGUGACUCAGCCGCCCUCCCUCUCUGCAUCUCCGGGAUCAUCUGUCAGACUCACCUGCACCCUGAGCAGUGGGAACAGUGUUGGCAGCUAUGACAUAAGUUGGUACCAGCAGAAGGCAGGGAGCCCUCCCCGGUACCUCCUGUACUACUACUCAGACUCCAGCAAGCACCAGGGCUCCGGGGUCCCGAGCCGCUUCUCUGGGUCCAAAGAUGCCUCGGCCAAUGCAGGGCUUCUGCUCAUCUCUGGGCUGCAGCCCGAGGACGAGGCUGACUAUUACUGCUCUGCAUACAAGAGUGGUUCAUACAAUUCACACAGUGCCCCAGACCCAAAGGGAAGUGAGACUAAAACCUCCCCUGUGCUCUCCCCGCUGGGCCAUUCCUGCGCUGUGCCUGGGACCAGGUCGCACUCAGGGUGA